rnacentral:rRNA from 1 species
UACGUAGGGGGCUAGCGUUGUCCGGAAUCAUUGGGCGUAAAGCGCGUGUAGGCGGUUCGGUAAGUCCGCUGUGAAAGUCGGGGGCUCAACCCUCGAAUGCCGGUGGAUACUGUCGGACUAGAGUACGGAAGAGGCGAGUGGAAUUCCUGGUGUAGCGGUGAAAUGCGCAGAUAUCAGGAGGAACACCGAUGGCGAAGGCAGCUCGCUGGGACGGUACUGACGCUGAGACGCGAAAGCGUGGGGAGCAAACAGG